AUUCCUAUAGUGUAACCAAACACAUAAUAUCUUCAAUAUUAAAAUUCUAUUAAGCUAGGAACA
rnacentral:tRNA from 1 species